GGCGGCAGUGGCAGGAGCCGCCUUUCCGAUUCCCUACGAUGCGGGUGCUGAGCUAUGGCAAAGGGCAGCGAAGUGACGAGCGAGACCCGCGUACGACUGUGAAAGCCACCUGGAGCCACCUUGCCGGGAUUGUACCUGCAGGCAGAAAGUCUUCCUACGACCGUCUUUUCCCCUAGAGGCACCAGGGCGGAAGAGCUCAGCGGA
rnacentral:sRNA from 1 species